GAGUUUGAUCAUGGCUCAGAUUGAACGCUGGCGGAAUGCUUUACACAUGCAAGUCGAACGGCAGCACGGGUGCUUGCACCUGGUGGCGAGUGGCGAACGGGUGAGUAAUACAUAGGAACAUACCCAGUAAUGGGGGAUAACGCCGAGAAAUCGGUGCUAAUACCGCAUACGCCCUACGGGGGAAAGCGGGGGAUCUUCGGACCUCGCGUUAUUGGAUUGGCCUAUGUCUGAUUAGCUAGUUGGUGAGGUAAAGGCUCACCAAGGCUUCGAUCAGUAGCUGGUCUGAGAGGAUGAUCAGCCACACUGGAACUGAGACACGGUCCAGACUCCUACGGGAGGCAGCAGUGGGGAAUUUUGGACAAUGGGCGAAAGCCUGAUCCAGCCAUUCCGCGUGAGUGAAGAAGGCCUUCGGGUUGUAAAGCUCUUUCGGCAGGAACGAAAUGGUCACGGUUAAUAACUGUGACUUCUGACGGUACCUGAAGAAGAAGCACCGGCUAACUACGUGCCAGCAGCCGCGGUAAUACGUAGGGUGCGAGCGUUAAUCGGAAUUACUGGGCGUAAAGCGUGCGCAGGCGGUUUUGUAAGUCAGAUGUGAAAGCCCCGGGCUUAACC
rnacentral:rRNA from 1 species